GCACGCACACACACACACACACACACACACACACACAUACACACGUACGCAGACACAAGUGAGAGUGCGCUCCUAACUCCUAGAACCCUUAUGCUGACACCUGUGUAUGCUGGAAACAGAUCAGUGUUACUAGAAGGCAACACUGAAGUUGAAAACAAUAUGGUGUCCUACACCUUCAGUGUCUGUGAAGCUUCAAGACUAUUAUACUUCCUGGCAGUAUGUUCCAGAAGUUGUCUACCAGGGCUCUUGACCACAGCUGCCUUUGUCUGAGUAAAGAAAACUGGCUUCAUUAAGCAAGCAGACUAUGUGGGUGAAUUCUUUAUUUCUUCAAUCUUGCCUCUGACUGUGGUAUGGCCAACUGCUUGAGUUCCUGCUUUUCUCAGAAAAGAUGGAAAUGACCUGGAAUUCUGUGAUGUGGCCAACUGCCUGAGUUCCCGUCUUGACUUCCCAGAAAUGAUGGGCAAUAACCUGGGAAACUGACUGUAGCUCAAGGCUAUGCAAGCCUUUAGUAUCCCCUUCCGAAGACGUGCAUCAGGAUCCUAAGACGUUUGUUGCUUUUGUCCAGGUAUUUUAUCAAGAUCAACGAGCAAAGAAACUGAGGCAGGAAGCAGGUAAACAGGCACAGGCAACUGUGGUACGAGUUGGGAGAAUAAGGUAGCUUGUUCAGUGUCUGGCAGACGAGAAGGCAUAGGAGAUGGUGUUGAUGUGAUUUUUAAUUCCUUCAUUAUGUGCCCUGGCAGUGAGAGGGCCCUGUGAAGAGAUCAUAAUCGCUUUGUCCUCAGAGAAAGCAAGUUUGUUGGCUCCACGUAUAAGUGGCCAGUCAGUCAUUUCGAUUGAGUGAAUCCUUAAAUGAAGGGAUUCUUAGUGUUCAGUGUGGACUGGGCUGGGGGCUGGUCUCCUUUUGGGCAGGGAUCCUUUAUGUCUUUGGUCACUUCAUAUUGUAUUACUUUCUAAAAAAUCUGACCCGAGGAAGAACCACCUAGGGGUAGGAUGGAAAGCUUUCACUCCUUGGGAGUCACAAAAGUGACAGUUCAUCAUCCCACCCCUCCCAUAGAACCUGGAUCGAAAGUUGCCUCUGGAAAGCAAAGACGCUAAGAUUUCAGUCUCCAACGUGCGCUGGCCAUGUCCUUGUGGUUUGCCAGUGCAUUGGUUUUGCAAUUAAAGGCUGAAUUGGGCUCGAAAGGAAACAGUGAGUCUGACCUUGGAGGAUGUCCUGUUCUCAACCCCACUGAGUCAUCCAAGAAUUUAUGAGCCAGGACUCAGAAAACACAGUCUAAAAUGAGAUUGCUUGAUGGGUAAAGGCGUUUGCCACAGACUGCUGGCCUGAGUUCAAUCCCCAGAACGCACAUGUAGAAGAGGAAAGAAAGAACCAACUCCUAAAAGGUGCCUUGUCUGUCUAUCCAUUUGUCCCUCCCUCCUCCUCCCCUUCUUCUCUCCUUCAUGUGCUAUCUCUUCCCCUCUCCCC